rnacentral:tRNA from 1 species
GGGGCCAUAGCUCAGUUGGUAGAGCAGCUAAGAAACAGCAACAAUUAUGGAUUUAAAAUCCGCGUGUCGCCGGUUCGAAUCCGGCUGGCCCCG